rnacentral:rRNA from 1 species
AUACGUAGGGGGCGAGCGUUGUCCGGAAUGAUUGGGCGUAAAGGGCGCGUAGGCGGCGCGGUAAGUCUGGAGUGAAAGUCCUGUUUUCAAGAUGGGAAUUGCUUUGGAUACUGAUGGGCUUGAGUGCAGGAGAGGUUAUCGGAAUUCCCGGUGUAGCGGUGAAAUGCGUAGAGAUCGGGAGGAACACCAGUGGCGAAGGCGGGUAACUGGACUGCAACUGACGCUGAGGCGCGAAAGUGUGGGGAGCAAACAGGAUUAGAUACCCUGGUAGUCCACACUGUAAACGAUGAAUGCUAGGUGUAAGAGGUAUCGACCCCUUUUGUGCCGGAGUUAACGCAAUAAGUACCCCGCCUGGGGAGUACGGCCGCAAGGCUUAAACUCAAAUGAAUUGACGGGG